rnacentral:rRNA from 1 species
AUGAACGCUAGCUACAGGCUUAACACAUGCAAGUCGAGGGGCAUCAGGAAGAAAGCUUGCUUUCUUUGCUGGCGACCGGCGCACGGGUGAGUAACACGUAUCCAACCUGCCCUUUACUCGGGGAUAGCCUUUCGAAAGAAAGAUUAAUACCCGAUGGCAUAAUGAUUCCGCAUGGUUUCAUUAUUAAAGGAUUCCGGUAAAGGAUGGGGAUGCGUUCCAUUAGGUUGUUGGUGAGGUAACGGCUCACCAAGCCUUCGAUGGAUAGGGGUUCUGAGAGGAAGGUCCCCCACAUUGGAACUGAGACACGGUCCAAACUCCUACGGGAGGCAGCAGUGAGGAAUAUUGGUCAAUGGGCGCUAGCCUGAACCAGCCAAGUAGCGUGAAGGAUGAAGGCUCUAUGGGUCGUAAACUUCUUUUAUAUAAGAAUAAAGUGCAGUAUGUAUACUGUUUUGUAUGUAUUAUAUGAAUAAGGAUCGGCUAACUCCGUGCCAGCAGCCGCGGUAAUACGGAGGAUCCGAGCGUUAUCCGGAUUUAUUGGGUUUAAAGGGAGCGUAGGUGGACUGGUAAGUCAGUUGUGAAAGUUUGCGGCUCAACCGUAAAAUUGCAGUUGAUACUGUCAGUCUUGAGUACAGUAGAGGUGGGCGGAAUUCGUGGUGUAGCGGUGAAAUGCUUAGAUAUCACGAAGAACUCCGAUUGCGAAGGCAGCUCACUGGACUGCAACUGACACUGAUGCUCGAAAGUGUGGGUAUCAAACAGGAUUAGAUACCCUGGUAGUCCACGCCGUAAACGAUGAUUGCUAGGUGUAGGUGGGUAUGGACCCAUCGGUGCCGCAGCUAACGCAAUAAGCAAUCCACCUGGGGAGUACGUUCGCAAGAAUGAAACUCAAAGGAAUUGACGGGGACCCGCACAAGCGGUGGAGCAUGUGGUUUAAUUCGAAGCAACGCGAAGAACCUUACCAGGGCUUGACAUAUAGAUGAAUAUAUAGAGAUUAUAUAGCUUUUCGGAGCAUCUAUACAGGUGGUGCAUGGUUGUCGUCAGCUCGUGCCGUGAGGUGUCGGCUUAAGUGCCAUAACGAGCGCAACCCUUAUCUUUAGUUACUAACAGGUUAUGCUGAGGACUCUAGAGAGACUGCCGUCGUAAGAUGUGAGGAAGGUGGGGAUGACGUCAAAUCAUCAUGCCCUUUAUGACCUGGGCUACACACGUACUACAAUGGCGUCUACAAAGAGCGGCAAGCCUGUGAAGGCAAGCGAAUCUCAUAAAGGACGUCUCAGUUCGGAUUGAAGUCUGCAACCCGACUUCAUGAAGCUGGAAUCGCUAGUAAUCGCGAAUCAGCAUGUCGCGGUGAAUACGUUCUCGGGCCUUGUACACACCGCCCGUCACACCAUGAGAGCCGGGGGGACCCGAAGUCGGUAGUCUAACCGCAAGGAGGACGCCGCCGAAGGUAAAACUGGUGAUUGGGGUG